UCCAAUAGCGUAUAUUAAAGUUGCUGCAGUUAAAAAGCUCGUAGUUGAAUUUCGGGACUAAUAUAUCGGUCGUGCCUCGGUACGUACUGGUAUUUUUGGUUUCUCCCUUCUGACGAACCUUGAUGUCAUUAAUUUGGUGUCUUGGGAAAUCAGGACUGUUACUUUGAAAAAAUUAGAGUGUUUAAAGCAGGCUCACGCUUGAAUACAUUAGCAUGGAAUAAUGAAAUAGGACGUUUGAUUCUAUUUUGUUGGUUUCUAGGAUCGACGUAAUGAUUAACAGGGAUAGUUGGGGGCAUUAGUAUUCAAUUGUCAGAGGUGAAAUUCUUGGAUUUAUUGAAGACUAUCUACUGCGAAAGCAUUUGCCAAGGAUGUUUUCAUUAAUCAAGAACGAAAGUUAGGGGAUCGAAGACGAUCAGAUACCGUCGUAGUCUUAACCAUAAACUAUGCCGACUAGGGAUCGGGCGAUGUUAUCUUUUUGACUCGUUCGGCGCCUUACGGGAAAC
rnacentral:rRNA from 1 species